AGUGAACGCUGGCGGUAGGCCUAACACAUGCAAGUCGAACGGCAGCACAGUAAGAGCUUGCUCUUACGGGUGGCGAGUGGCGGACGGGUGAGGAAUACAUCGGAAUCUACUUUUUCGUGGGGGAUAACGUAGGGAAACUUACGCUAAUACCGCAUACGACCUACGGGUGAAAGCAGGGGAUCUUCGGACCUUGCGCGAUUGAAUGAGCCGAUGUCGGAUUAGCUAGUUGGCGGGGUAAAGGCCCACCAAGGCGACGAUCCGUAGCUGGUCUGAGAGGAUGAUCAGCCACACUGGAACUGAGACACGGUCCAGACUCCUACGGGAGGCAGCAGUGGGGAAUAGUGGACAAUGGGCGCAAGCCGGAUCCAGCCAUACCGCGUGGGUGAAGAAGGCCUUCGGGUUGUAAAGCCCUUUUGUUGGGAAAGAAAAGCAGCAGGUUAAUACCCCGCUGUUCUGACGGUACCCAAAGAAUAAGCACCGGCUAACUUCGUG
rnacentral:rRNA from 1 species